rfam:Cicer arietinum chromosome Ca8, whole genome shotgun sequence.
UAUAACUUGCAUAUAAUGCAAUAAAAUUGGAACGAUACAGAGAAGAUUAGCGUGGCCCUUGCGCAAGGAUGACACGCAAAAAUCGAGAAAUGGUCCAAAUUAUU